AUGUAAUACAUGUGGAAGGAUGUUCAUCACAGUGUUGUUCAUAAAACAGAAACAAUAGUAACUAUGAAUCCAGAGAAAAUUAGCUAAAUAAAUGAAACAUUCCACAGAAGAAUUCUCAGGUGGGAGACAUUACCAAUUUCUGGUUCUCUUCGCCUUCCCUGAGGCACACAGAAGAUUAUAUAUCCCAGGCUUCCUGAAGUUAGAUGGCACCAUGUGACUACUUCUGGUCAGAGGACCAGGAACAAAGUGUUUCAGGUUGACUUUUAGACCAAGGCCGUGGAACGCCUUUGUGUAAUGUUCCAGCACUUUUCCCCUGCUGCAGUGACCAGAAGUCCCUCACCAAGAUGAGAACCAUAAGAUGGAAGAGGCAUGGAUCUGAGAGUCACCAUUUAGGAACACCGGACCCACAGCCAACUGUAGAUAAUCUCCUAUGAAAGAACAAAAAAUGUAUCACCCCCACACCUCAAAAGAGUGACGGGCCCUAAUCCUUAGGUCUACAUUCCAGGUUGCAGAGUCAAAAGAGCUUGCACUGUUGCUUCCUCCACCCACCUCUUCAACAGCCAGGAGCAGAAGAAUUCCCUAAUGAUAACUCCUAAAGAGACACUUAAAGUUCAAAGCUCUAGCACAUGAUGAAAGUAAGUUGAAUGACCUAAAGAGGAGAAAUAUGGAGAUGGUGCACCCUGACGAUUAGGAAGGGAAGCUCCAAGGCUUCUGAAAGAGUGAAUCUCCCGAACUUAAAUAAGAUAAUGAUGCUAAAUGCCCUACACAAAAUGGAAUCUCUCUGAGACAAGCCGGUCCUCAAAAAGCCUGGCAACAUGGGCACUUAUAAGGACUUGGUGUUAAGCACAGAGCCUCGGUAACCUCAGCAAAGACACUUCGUGGCAGAGAUGGAAAAGUGGAGCCAUCUUGUCUUGAUGGAUCAUGAAACCAUGGUGGGGAGCCAGGGCCACAGGAAUUAUUGUGCACUAAUGACCCAUGCCUUGCCAGACAUAAAAGACUCAGA
rnacentral:lncRNA from 1 species